rnacentral:tRNA from 1 species
GCUUUAGUAGUUUAUAUAAAAUAUUACAUUGUGGUUGUAAAGAAGUUAUUACCUUAAGCA